rnacentral:tRNA from 1 species
AUUCCUAUAGUAUAUUCAAUAUCUUAGUUUGUCAUAUUAAAGAUCUCUUUUAAAGAGUAGGAAUU